AUUGAACGCUGGCGGCAGGCCUAACACAUGCAAGUCGAACGAGUGGCGGACGGGUGAGGAAUACAUCGGAAUCUUCUCUGUCGUGGGGGAAAAAGUAGGGAAAAUUACGCUAAAAACGCAUAUGAUUGAAUGAGACGAUGUCGGAUUAGCUAGUUGGCGGGGUAAAGGCACACCAAGGCGACGAUCCGUAGCUGGUCUGAGAGGAUGAUCAGCCACACUGGAACUGAGACACGGUCCAGACUCCUACGGGAGGCAGCAGUGGGGAAUAUUGCACAAUGGGCGCAAGCCUGAUGCAGCCAUGCCGCGUGUAUGAAGAAGGCCUUCGGGUUGUAAAGUACUUUCAGCGGGGAGGCGUUACCCGCAGAAGAAGCCCCGGCUAACUCCGUGCCAGCAGCCGCGGUAAUUC
rnacentral:rRNA from 1 species